rnacentral:tRNA from 3 species
GGGUUAUUAGCUCAGUUGGUAGAGCAGCUCCCUUUUAAGGAGAAGGUCCUGGGUUCGAGCCCCGGAUGACCCACCA